UACCGCCGUGGGUUCAGCCACUGUGUAGAGAGGAGGCUUGCCGCCGGCGACGACGGUGGAGCGUUCUCGGCGGGGGAAGCGAUCGGUCAGCUGUUGAUGCCGGCGGCUAACCUGCCUGUGUUAAAAGAGCUAACUGAGUGAUUUUAUCAUCCGAGAUUGCCAGGUCGGUUGACAGCGGCGUUGAGUUUUCUCCGCCGCAGGAGUUCUCGGGGGGAAAGGGGUCGGUCGGCUGUUGAUCUUGAAGUUAUAAGCGACUCAAAAACCAUCUUAAAUUAAGACGACGGGCAAUAACCAAGCAAUUUAGGCAAAUCAUCAACCACAUGGUGCUCAAAAUCUAAUAAAAUAGCUGUGGUAAAAUUUCACAUAAGUGAUGUUAGAGAUAAAAGCUUAAUAUAAACUUCGUGCAGAAGCUAGGGAAUAAAAAUAAAAAUGAAACAACUUACGACCAAAGAUAUAAGAAUCCAUGUGGUUUGGAGGUCAGCCUCUUACGUCCAUGAGAGGCAGGGAGAAACUACACUAGAUGUGAAAGAAGUAUAAAAGAACAUUUAUUAUAACUUAGAAUACAUAUUUUUGAUCUUGACCCUCAAUAAACUCACUAGUCACUCAACAAUAAUAAGAGAUCUCUUUGUUAGAAAUUCACUCUCAAUCUCUUUUGUUCUCUCUAGUCACCUAGUACAUAGAGGUGAAAAGAGGUGGCCUCUAUUUAUUGGCAUCUUGAACCAUCUCGAGAAGUAUGUCAAUAGACUUCUCGAGGAAGAAUCAACUGUUUCCUUCUCUUCUAGUUGAAAUGAUUCAGCUAAACCAUUCCUCCUAUUUGACUCAAUCCAUCCAUAAUUGGGCCAUUGAGGUAUAUGAUAACUAGCCCACAUCUAGCCCAUUUAGAAUGUCUUCCUUUCUCUUUGUCCUCCCACAUUAAACAUGGUUCUUCUUCUAUGUAACCACUACCCUUGAUGAGCUGAAAUAGUGCACGUGGUCACUUUAUGUGCCACAUGUCUAGCAAGUGAUCACUUAGUAUGAAAGUAAUUAUCUUAUUAAGCUCACUUAGUGACAAUCAUGAGAUGAAUAUAUUAAAAGAAUAGGUGAUGUAAGAACUAGAUGACGGAGUAUUGGCUGUGGAAAGAGGUCACCAAAGGAGCCUCUUAUGGUGGAGAAGAUUAACACUCAAUUUUUCAAACGUUCAAUUAACACUCUUCUCGCCUGUGUCAAGAUUGGUUUAGGGGAGGGUGACACGACUUUUGCUUAAGUAAAAGAAAAGAUUAUAUAUUUUAAGCAAAAACAUGGCCAUUGAUCCAUAUUCUAAUCUUCAAUAAUUCUACAGCGUUAUAUCUCAGGCAUCUAUGUAGUGUGUAGAAUAUGAUGGAGUGAAAUAAAGAUUUAGUUGGUCUCAGGUAAAUUGAAAGAUGUUGACCUGCCAAAACAUGUGAAAUUUACAAGAAUGUAAGUCACAAUGGGUAUUAGGUAUAGAAUCUCCCUAUUUUGGGUAUACGUUGGAUAGAACACUUCACAGAUUAUGUUGAAGCCCAAUUAAUCUAGUUGAUGCGUCUUUUUUAUGAUGUUCCAAAUCUAUAUGGAAGGUAUCCAAUUUGCAGCCAUUCACGACAUCAUGUUGAAGAACUUGGUUUCCUUCAUCCAUAAGUAUUUAUUUCAUUUGAUUUGAUGAUUGUGUCUCACUGCCACAUGAUCAAUGGCACAAAACUUACCAAAUUAUUUACAGUGAUAUUUGUCCAUUUUAGCAAAAAAUAAUUUAGGUAAUCCCUUUUCCACGACGUCAACUAUCCUAUUUGAACACGGGACAAGAACUGUUGACUCUUUCGAAACAGCUAAAUGUGCAAGCCUGAGGCUUUGGUCAAGGUCUUGACUUGUUGGUAUUCUGACGUGUUGGUCAAAUGCCAUUUGGCAACGUCAACAACAGCUGUCAUCGCAUCGCUGCCCAUACAUCGAAGCCAAUCUGCAGUAGACAAUAAACAGUGUUGGGAAGAGGACGCUCCUAAGAAACGAGAAUAAUCUACUUUAAAAAAACAAACUUUCUGUAAUUCCAACGCGUCGAGAAGAAAAUCGGAGAGAACGCGUGGUGGACCUGCUCAAUGGAAGAGUAAUCACGUAACAUUGAUCAAAAAUCAACUCAUCAAAGUCUUGUCGAGAACGUUGCGACAGCUGAGUAGGAAUUCAUCUAUAUAACUAAGCAAAAAACUCGCCAAGCUUCAUCGCCUUCUACUGGGAAACACAGCGGGAAGCAUGGGGUCGCCUGACAUCUUCUUUCCCGCCGCCGUUGGAAGACACCGCCGGCCCGUUUCCCUCGCCACAGCGGUUGUCGUUGCCCUUCUCAUACUCGACGGUUCUUGCUGCGUUGUCUCGGGUGCUCGUCCAACCCCAGAUGGAACUCGCUGCAGGAUGCCUCCAGCCGUUGAUCGUUGGCGUUCAAGCUCUCUAGGUGGUAAAGGGGUUCUCGACGGAGAGAUGACGGAGUUUCCGGCAGAGAUGGGGGGGAGAUUCCGAGUGUUGAAGGAAUAUUAUGGGCCUCCAUCUCCGACAUCCCGGGACCCCGUUAAGAUCCGCCGUGUCAACCCCUCAACUCACUUGUAGGCCGGCCGACAAAGCCUUAUCCUGCACCGCCGCCGCCCGAUGGCUUGCAUAGGCAGAGACGAAGAAAAUAAUGAUCAUAUUGACCUACUGGCCCCCAGUCAUGUUAUUUAUUCAGCACUGAACAAUGAUAUACAUAUAUAUAUAUAUAUAUAUAUAUAUAUAUAUAUAUAUAUUUAAUGAUAGUCAAAGUCCUUAAAGGUUCAUUCCUCUUUUGCUUAUCAUUUUCCUCAAGUCAUCUUGGCACGAGUGGCCAAUCUGUAACAAAAUCAUUAUUAAAAUUCAAAGCCUACAACCACCUUUUCUUUGCUUUCUUUCCUAAUUCUCAUCAUUGAUACUCUAAUAUUUUAGAUACUUAUGUUUCCUAAAGUAAAUAUAUAUAUUAUUUAUUAAUACGAAAUAUUUCAAAACAUAACUAUGAUAUACCACAACAUCAAGCUUCAUGUUUUCAUCCAAAAACGAAGCUCCUUAUAUGUUAAAAUACAAGGCUUGGUAUAUUGGACUAUUGUGUAAUAGUAAACUAAAAUAUAAGGCUUCAAAUAAUAUGUCAUUCACAUACCACUCUUCCUUUUUCUAUCUUCAUUUUCUUUUGACUAUUAAGUCAUGUCCUAGAUUUUUUACCCAUGUGUGAGUUAUCUUAAAUACUUUCAAUCAAUCUCAAAUUUAUGAAAAACUUUUAUGCAUAAACUAUCAACUUAUGCAAUAAAUACUACACUGACCUAAAAACAGAAACUGACCUUUUUACCGUCAAUAGUUUUUGUCAACUAUAAAACCUACUUUGAGAGUAAAUCCCAACACCCCCGUCCCUUUUGACUUAUUCAUAGUGUUGUCUCUUUUAGACCAAGAGCCUAUGCUUGCACCAAAAAAUUUAGUUGACUUCAUUUUUUUCAAAAUUAGUUAAUUAAGGCUCUUGUAUAAUAUAAUACUCAACUAGCACUGUCACUACUUUUUUUUUUCAUUACAAUUAAUGGUAUACAUCUAAUUACUUUUGUGCUCCUUUGUACAAGUAUUCUUCUAUUUGUAUUGUUGAAGAUCAACCCAAAAAUAUGAGAAUUAACAUUAAUUGCAGGCAAUCCAUGUGGUGAAUAUCACAUUUUCACAAAACUGAAAUAUUUUAAAAUUCAUAUUUAAAAAGGGUUUAUUUUUAACCAAGAGUAAAUAAUAUGCCUAUAUAUACCUUCCUUAUUAAAUAUCAUUGCAAUAUUUUACUACAUGUGAAAAGAAUGAAAAUGCAUAUAUUAUCUCUUUUUUAUGUUUUUAAAUGAUAAAUGUUCAAUUUUAAUUCAAUCAUGAGUUAUGACCUCUAUUAGGAAAGAUUUAUGAGAGUUCUAUCCCCUCUUUGUUGCAUAUCAUUGCCAUAUUGAUCACCAGUAGUGCUGAAGGUAUUUUUUUUUUCAUAAACUGAUUAAAUCAUAUUGGUUAUAUGAUAGAGUGCACAUAUUCGCGCAUAAUUUAGUUUAAUAAUAUAUUGCUUUAUUUUGCUUUUUAGAUUAUUUCAACCCGCUCCCAAACUAGUCAAACGCAAUCGGUAGAGCGGGCCCAGUCACAUCCAAACCGCUUCGCUGUCGUCCUGUACUUCCAAGAGCUGUGCUCCAUCAUUGCGUCUUCCCGUGCGAACCGGCUCCUCCAUUUCCUUCGGCGGCGCCUGCGUUGCUAUGGCUGAAUUGCCGGUCGCCUCCUCUGCCAGGAUGCGGCGCUCCCCGGCGAGAUCUGGUGCCGCGGCGCUGCUAUGCCUCGUCCUCCUACUCAGCCUCCCGGUGAUCUCUCUGGCGGCAAGGUCCCACGGUAAGCCCUUCCGUGCUCUCUUUGGGAGCCCUCGGAACAAGAACCACCAUGUGUUUGUAGAAUUUUUUCAUAGAGGACUGACCUCAAUCUCGAACCCGGAUUUAUUUGCCCAUGCUCGCCCUCAGACAACGUCUCUAUGCGGUGUUUGACAUCUCUUCAGGAGGCGAGAUGAUGGUAAGGUCUUUGGGCAGCAACCCGAAGCCGUCGCCACCCGCCCCUACUACGGGCAGAACGAAGUCUUCAUCAGUCUACUCCGCACCGCCGCCGCCUAAUUUAGCUUAAGAUCGACGGCCGACAACUCAGGAACACGUCGCACAAUUCCAGCUUUCUGAAUCAUAUUGUAAAGUCUUUGUUGUUCUCAAUUUUCCUUUAAUAAAAUAGUAGUAUACUGCGGUUUCCUGUAGUAGUUUCAUAAACUCAAACACCUGGUGUGCAUGCGGCUAUGGCUAUGAAUUGAGCCGGAAUCACGUUAGCGUUAAAUUACCCCUCGCGGCUAGAAGACCCUCGUGCGGUGCCCCUCAGACUAUAUAAAACCCACACCCGUUUUCCCCUCCACCUUGCGCGCGUUCACUACCGCCGUGGGUUCAGCCACUGUGUAGAGAGGAGGCUUGCCGCCGGCGACGACGGUGGAGCGUUCUCGGCGGGGGAAGCGAUCGGUCAGCUGUUGAUGCCGGCGGCUAACCUGCCUGUGUUUAAAGAGCGCGCUAAGCGAGGCUCUCAUCCGAGACUGCCAGGUCGGUUGACAGCGGCGUUGAAUUUUCUCCGCCGCAGGAGCGUUCUCGGCGGGGAAAGCGGUCAGUCGGCUGUUGAUGCCCGCGGCGACCUUGUCUGUGGUAGAAGAGCGCGUUGAGAGAAGUUAUCAUCGGCAAGUGCUAAGUUAGUUGGCCGCGGCAUCGAGUUUUCUCGCUUCCCGAGUUUGAGAGAGGCGCUUUCUUUCAGAAUCGCCGUCUCUCCGGGAGACAUAAUCUCAC
rnacentral:lncRNA from 1 species